rnacentral:rRNA from 1 species
AGGAGCAUGUGGUUAAUUCGAUGGUACGCGAGGAACCUUACCUGGGUUAGAACGUAUGAUAGAUGUAGCUGAAAGGUUACAGACCUGCGAGGGAUAUCAUACGAGGUGCUGCAUGGUUGUCGUCAGCUCGUGCCGUGAGGUGUUUGGUUAAGUCCAGCAACGAGCGCAACCCCUACCUUUAGUUGCCAUCAGGUAAAGCUGGGGACACUAGAGGGACUGCCUGCGCAAGCAGAGAGGAAGGUGGGAUGACGUCAAAUCAGCACGGCCCUUAUGUCCAGGGCUACACACGUGCUACAAUGGUAACUACAGAGGGCAGCGACUAGGCGACUAGGAGCGAAUCUCGAAAAGUUAUCUCAGUUCGGAUUGGAGUCUGCAACUCGACUCCAUGAAGGUGGAUUCGCUAGUAAUCGCGCAUCAGCAAUGGCCGCGGUCGAAUACGUUCCCGGGCCUU